UGCUAUGACGAAGUGCCUAAGACUGGG
rnacentral:piRNA from 1 species